rnacentral:sRNA from 1 species
UCCACUCCGGUCUCCGACUCCGGCACGAC